UUUAAACUGUUUAAUUGGGAUCUCAUGAUGAAGUCCUCGUUUUUGUUUUUCAUUGGGAUCUCAUGACGAAGUCCUCAGUUUUCACUGUUUCAUUGGGACCUCUGUGGUCACAAAGUCCUUUUUUUUCAAUUUUUCAUUGGGAUCUCAUGAUGAAGUCCUCGUUCUCACUGUUUCACCCUCGUUCUCACUGUGUCGUUGGGUUCCCUGUGCUGACAAAGCCCUCGGACUUUUCACGGGUAUCUCGAUGGUCAUGAAGUCCUCAGCCAGCGUCACCUCCUGGCUGCCCAUGACGGCCUCGGCCUCGCUCCGGAGGGCUCCCAUGUCAUCCCCGCCGCGGUACCGCUNGAGAUCCCACAGGGAGAUAAACCCACUGAGAACACUGACAACUGAGCGGCACGCUAAUUUAAUCCAGGUUUCAUUAGCAGUCAGGAUCACCGGGUGAUUUGUACCCAGGCUUUGAGGAGAGGGGAGCAGGCUAAGCCAGGACACAGGGGUCUGAUAGAAAAGAGGCAGCUGUAAUUUGUUCUGAAACUCCAAAAUACACUAUAAAUGCAAAGUGCAGCAGCUCUGCAUAACCCAGCGCUGGGUGUGUGAUGUGCCCAAGAGCAAUCCGUGUUUGGAUCCACAGCAGUGACCUGGCCUUGAGUGCAGACCCAGAGCCUGCAGCUCUCCUGAAAGGAGCAUCCCCUCCCUGGGCUCUCCCUGUGGAAUGAAUGGCAUUGGAAUUGCACUGGUAUUCCAGAUACAGGAUCUGAUAGAAAAGAGGAAGCUGUAAUUUGCUCUGAAACGCUAAAAUACAUUAUAAAUGGAAAGUGCAGCAGCUCUGCAUAACCCAGAGCUGGGUGUGCUCGACUCAUUGACAUGGCCAAGAGCAAUCCGUGUUUGAGUCCACAGCAGUGACCUGGCCUUGAGUGCAGACCCAGAGCCUUCAGUUCUUCGGGUCAGGGAAAGGAGCAUCCCCUCCCUGGGCUCUCCCUGUGGAAUAAAUGCCAUUGGAAUUGCA
rnacentral:lncRNA from 1 species